GUGGGGAAUAUUGCACAAUGGGGGAAACCCUGAUGCAGCGACGCCGCGUGGAGGAUGACGGCCUUCGGGUUGUAAACUCCUUUUGUCGGGGAAAAUGGUGAUGGUACCCGACGAAUAAGCCACGGCUAACUCUGUGCCAGCAGCCGCGGUAAGACAGAGGUGGCGAGCGUUGUUCGGAAUUACUGGGCUUAAAGGGCGCGUAGGCGGUGGUUUAAGUCUGAGGUGGAAUGCUACAGCUCAACUGUAGAGCUGCCUUGGAAACUGGAUUACUUGAGUCGGUGAGGGGAAGGUGGAAUUCCAGGUGUAGCGGUGAAAUGCGUAGAUAUCUGGAGGAAGGUCUGUGGCGAAGGCGACCUUCUGGCACUUGACUGACGCUGAGGCGCGAAAGCGUGGGUAGCAAACAGGAUUAGAUACCCUUGUAGUCC
rnacentral:rRNA from 1 species